UUUUCUUCAAAACACAGUUUUGACCAACGUCUCUCAAGUCUUAACUUCAACUUUGAUUCUGCAAAGGGACUCCUUUGAAUUCUCAAUCCACAGAUAAGAACCUGAAAGUGAGCAGUGUUUCAUUAGGUGCAUCUGAGCAAGAUAUACAGGAGUUUUUCCUUUCUGGGGAAAUUGAACAUGUUGAGAUGCACAGUGGCAAUGAGUGGUCUCAAAUUGCAUAUGUUGUCUUCAAGGAUCCCAAGGGGCAACCAGGAAAUCCUGCACUGGAGACAUCUUUAAGGAAGUGCUGAAUAUCCGCACUACUGUAGUUUGAAGCAAUUGUAAUGUUUUGUUGUUGGAUCU